AGUGGCAGACGGGUGAGUAAUGUAUAGGGAUCUACCUAGUAGUACGGAAUAAUUGUUGGAAACGGCAACUAAUACCGUAUACGCCCUACGGGGGAAAAAUUUAUUGCUAUUAGAUGAGCCUAUAUUAGAUUAGUUAGUUGGUGAGGUAAAGGCUUACCAAGACAAUGAUCUAUAGCUGAUCUGAGAGGAUGAUCAGCCACACUGGAACUGAGAUACGGUCCAGACUCCUACGGGAGGCAGCAGUGGGGAAUAUUGGACAAUGGGCGAAAGCCUGAUCCAGCCAUGCCGCAUGAGUGAAGAAGGCCUUCGGGUUGUAAAGCUCUUUUAGUGAGGAAGAUAAUGACGGUACUCACAGAAGAAGUCCUGGCUAACUCCGUGCCAGCAGCCGCGAUAAUACGGAGAGGGCUAGCGUUAUUCGGAUUUACUGGGCGUAAAGCGCGCGUAGGCGGAUAGAUAAGUCAGAGGUGAAAUCCCGGGGCUCAACCCCGGAAUUGCCUUUGAUACUGUUUAUCUUGAGUGCAGAAGAGGUAAGUGGAAUUCCGAGUGUAGAGGUGAAAUUCGUAGAUAUUCGGAGGAACACCAGUGGCGAAGGCGGCUUACUGGUCUGCAACUGACGCUGAGGCGCGAAAGCGUGGGGAGCAAACAGGCUUAGAUACCCUGGUAGUCCACGCCGUAAGCGUUGGGAACUAGAUGUGGGGACCAUUCCACGGUCUCCGUGUCGUAGCUAACGCAUUAAGUUCCCCGCCUGGGGAGUACNGCCGCAAGGCU
rnacentral:rRNA from 1 species